UAGAGCCAAUGCACACCCACACAUUCAAAUCAAUGCACACACAGAUACAAUAGAUCUAAAAAAAGUGAUCAAAAGCAAAAGAAUAAGCCGUUACAAAAAACACGUUAAAGAUAACUCCUCAUUAUGACCUUCUGGAUGUCCUAUUCUCAUCUGGAUUGUGAUCUACAUUGACCUGUAACGCCGUCCAGAGGGGAGGAGUUUGAACAGAUUGUGUCCUGGGUGUAAGGGGUCAGCAGUGAUCCUCUCUGCCCUCAUUUUGACCUAUGAGGUGUACUUCUUCUUGAAGUCCACUGUCAUCUCCACUGUUUGGAGCGUGUUCAUCUCCAGGUUGUUGUGACUACAUCAGGCAUUGGACGGCGCCCUGUGCAUGAGGUCGUCUGACAGGAAGUUGCACAGCAGCUGCAGUGCACAAACAGCAGUCUCCUGUGAGGAAGUCCUGUGUUUUCUGACCCAUCCAUCCACCCUCAGUCACUUACCGCCCUCCCUUGCAUGUGCCAUAAUUACCACAGUCUCUAGAGGUCACUGGGCUAUAAUGUAUUACUGCUGUAAUAAACU